AUUGAACGCUGGCGGCAGGCCUAACACAUGCAAGUCGAGCGAGCGGCGGACGGGUGAGUAAUGUAUUGGGACUGCCCGAUAGAGGGGUGUAACUACUGGAAACGGUGGCUAAUACCGCAUACUUUCGCGUACCCCAUAUGGGAUUAGCUAGUAGGUGGGGUAAAGGCUCACCUAGGCGACGAUCUCUAGCUGGUCUGAGAGGAUGCUCCGGCACACUGGGAUGGAGAUACGGGCCAGACUCUUACGGAGGGCGCAGUGGGGAAUACUGCAUACUGGUGGUAAGCUGGAUGCAGCCAUGCCGCGUGUAUUAAGAAUGACAUCGUUUUGUAAAGUUCUUUCGGUAGUCAGGCGUUCAAUACAUAAGAAGACCCGGCUAACUCCGUGCCAGCAGCCGCGGUAAUUC
rnacentral:rRNA from 1 species